UAAAUAACAAUANAGGGCUCUUUUGGGUCUUAUAAUUGGAAUGAGUACAAUUUAAAUCCCUUAACGAGGAUCAAUUGGAGGGCAAGNCUGGUGAACUAUCCNGUCNAUGCUUCNGGCGCCAGAAANAGCGAUUCANCUNGUCGAGCUUCUCUUUNNNAUGGGCAGAANCCGGCAAGGUNNCCUGGUACGGGGAAUCCCUAGCUUUCAAAGUGGGAGAUCCCGUGACNAGUUCAAUAUGAACCGUUGUANCGCGCGCAAAGGUACCGGUCAGUCUAUACAUCANAGGUCUGGCUCANGGGACGUGCUAUUCCCCCCGAAAGGNUGUUUAACUGUGGAGCGCCCAUUACGCAAUACAGUUGAAAUANUGAUACAAUCNUUAUNGUUUCUUGANAGGCCAGCAGCCGCGGUAAUUCCAGCUCCAAUANCNNAUAUUAAAGUUGUUGCCGUUAAAAAGCUCGUAGNCGAACUUCGGCCUCUGCCGCCCGGUCCGCCUAUUUGGGUGUGUACUGGAGCGGUGGAGGCUUACCUCGUGGUGAGCAAUCAUACCCUUCACUGGGCGUGGUUGGGAACCAUGAUUUUUACUUUGAAAAAAUUAGAGUGUUCAAAGCAGGCUUACGCCCGAAUACAUUAGCAUGGAAUAAUAAAAUAGGACGUGCGGUUCUAUUUUGUUGGUUUCUAGGAUCGCCGUAAUGAUUAAUAGGGAUAGUUGGGGGCAUUCGUAUUCAAUUGCUAGAGGUGAAAUUCUUGGAUUUAUUGAAGACGAACUACUGCGAAAGCAUUUGCCAAGGAUGUUUUCAUUGAUCAAGAACGAAGGUUAGGGGAUCGAAAACGAUCAGAUACCGUUGUAGUCUUAACAGUAAACGAUGCCGACUAGGGAUCGGACGAGGAUUUUUAAUGACUCGUUCGGCACCUGAAGAGAAAUCUUUAAGUCUAGGUUCGGGGGGGAGUAUGGUCGCAAGGCUGAAACUUAAAGGAAUUGACGGAAGGGCACCACCAGGUGUGGAGCCUGCGGCUUAAUUUGACUCAACACGGGGAAACUCACCAGGUCCAGACACGACAAGGAUUGACAGAUUGAUAGCUCUUUCUUGAUUUCGUGGUUGGUGGUGCAUGGCCGUUCUUAGUUGGUGGAGUGAUUUGUCUGGUUAAUUCCGAUAACGAACGAGACCUUAACCUGCUAAAUAGCCCGGCCGGCUUUGGCUGGUCGCUGGCUU
rnacentral:rRNA from 1 species